AACGAACGUUGGCGGCGUGGAUUAGGCAUGCAAGUCGAACGGACCUGGGGGCAACUCCAGGUUAGUGGCGAACGGGUGAGUAACGCGUGGGAAACCUGCCCUAGAGACGGGGAUAACACCUCCAACGGGGUGCUAAUACCGGAUAAGACCACGGAAUCGCAUGGUUCUGCGGUCAAAGGUGGCCUCUACAUGUAAGCUACCACUUUAGGAUGGUCCCGCGUCCCAUUAGCUUGUUGGUAGGGUAAUGGCCUACCAAGGCUCCGAUGGGUAGCUGGUCUGAGAGGAUGGUCAGCCACACUGGGACUGAGAUACGGCCCAGACUCCUACGGGAGGCAG
rnacentral:rRNA from 1 species